rnacentral:rRNA from 1 species
AACGAACGCUGGCGGCAUGCCUAACACAUGCAAGUCGAACGAGACCUUCGGGUCUAGUGGCGCACGGGUGCGUAACGCGUGGGAACCUGCCCUUAGGUUCGGAAUAACUCCCCGAAAGGGGUGCUAAUACCGGAUAAUGUCUUCGGACCAAAGAUUUAUCGCCUUUGGAUGGGCCCGCGUUGGAUUAGCUAGUUGGUAGGGUAAAAGCCUACCAAGGCGACGAUCCAUAGCUGGUCUGAGAGGAUGAUCAGCCACACUGGGACUGAGACACGGCCCAGACUCCUACGGGAGGCAGCAGUGGGGAAUAUUGGACAAUGGGCGAUAGCCUGAUCCAGCAAUGCCGCGUGAGUGAUGAAGGCCUGAGGGUUGUAAAGCUCUUUUACCCGGGAUGAUAAUGACAGUACCGGGAGAAUAAGCUCCGGCUAACUCCGUG